AUUGAACGCUGGCGGCAUGCCUUACACAUGCAAGUCGAACGGCAGCACGGGUGCUUGCCCCUGGUGGCGAGUGGCGAACGGAUGAGUAAUACAUCGGAACAUGUCCUGUAGUGGGGGAUAGCCCGGCGAAAGCCGGAUUAAUACCGCAUACGUUCUACGGAUGAAAGCGGGGGACCUUCGGGCCUCGCGCUAUAGGGUUGGCCGAUGGCUGAUUAGCUAGUUGGUGGGGUAAAGGCCUACCAAGGCGACGAUCAGUAGAUGGUCUGAGAGGACGACCAGCCACACUGGGACUGAGACACGGCCCAGACUCCUACGGGAGGCAGCAGUGGGGAAUUUUGGACAAUGGGCGAAAGCCUGAUCCAGCAAUGCCGCGUGUGUGAAGAAGGCCUUCGGGUUGUAAAGCACUUUUGUCCGGAAAGAAAUCCUUGGCUCUAAUACAGUCGGGGGAUGACGGUACCGGAAGAAUAAGCACCGGCUAACUACGUG
rnacentral:rRNA from 1 species